CGGUAGCUCGUCGGGCUCAUAACCCGAAGGUCCUAGGUUCGAUCCCUAGCUUCGCAACCA
rnacentral:tRNA from 1 species